rnacentral:rRNA from 1 species
GAUGAACGCUGGCGGCGUGCCUAACACAUGCAAGCCGAGCGAUUCUCUUCGGAGAAGAGCGGCGGACGGGUGAGUAACGCAUGGGUAACCUGCCCUGUACACACGGAUAACAUACCGAAAGGUAUGCUAAUACGAGAUAAUAUGCUUUUAUCGCAUGGUAGAAGUAUCAAAGCUCCGGCGGUACAGGAUGGACCCGCGUCUGAUUAGCUAGUUGGUAAGGUAACGGCUUACCAAGGCGACGAUCAGUAGCCGACCUGAGAGGGUGAUCGGCCACAUUGGAACUGAGACACGGUCCAAACUCCUACGGGAGGCAGCAGUGGGGAAUAUUGCACAAUGGGCGAAAGCCUGAUGCAGCAACGCCGCGUGAGCGAUGAAGGCCUUCGGGUCGUAAAGCUCUGUCCUCAAGGAAGAUAAUGACGGUACUUGAGGAGGAAGCCCCGGCUAACUACGUGCCAGCCGCCGCAGUAACAC